CAGUAGCCGCGGGAAUACGAAGGGUGCAAGCGUUACUCGGAAUUACUGGGCGUAAAGCGUGCGUAGGUGGUGGUUUAAGUCCGUUGUGAAAGCCCUGGGCUCAACCUGGGAAUUGCAGUGGAUACUGGGUCACUAGAGUGUGGUAGAGGAUAGUGGAAUUUCCGGUGUAGCAGUGAAAUGCGUAGAGAUCGGAAGGAACAUCUGUGGCGAAGGCGACUAUCUGGGCCAACACUGACACUGAGGCACGAAAGCGUAAGGAGCAAACAGGAUUAGAUACCCCCGUAGUCCCUGUCUCUUAUAC
rnacentral:rRNA from 1 species